rnacentral:rRNA from 1 species
UACGUAGGGUGCGAGCGUUAAUCGGAAUUACUGGGCGUAAAGCGUGCGCAGGCGGUUCGUUGUGUCGGCGGUGAAAGCCCCGGGCUUAACCUGGGAAUGGCCGUCGAAACUGGCGAACUGGAGUGUGGCAGAGGGGGGUGGAAUUCCGCGUGUAGCAGUGAAAUGCGUAGAGAUGCGGAGGAACACCGGUGGCGAAGGCAGCCCCCUGGGCUGACACUGACGCUCAGGCACGAAAGCGUGGGGAGCAAACAGG